rnacentral:rRNA from 1 species
UACGGAGGGUGCAAACGUUGCUCGGAAUCAUUGGGCGUAAAGCGCACGUAGGCGGCUCGUUAAGUCGGAUGUGAAAUCCCUGGGCUCAACCCAGGAAGUGCAUUCGAAACUGGCGAGCUUGAAUAUGGAAGAGGUCGCGGAAUUCCCGGUGUAGAGGUGAAAUUCGUAGAUAUCGGGAGGAACACCAGUGGCGAAGGCGGCGACCUGGGCCAAUAUUGACGCUGAGGUGCGAAAGCGUGGGGAGCAAACAGG